AACGCACAUUGCGCCCAUUGGUAUUCCAUUGGGCAUGUCUGUUUGAGCGUCAUUACAACCCUCGGUGCAAACCGGUUUUGAGCGAGCAAGGGUCCCUGACCCGAGCCGGCUUUAAAGUUGUAAGCUCUGCUGGCCCCUAAGCCCAACCAGAACAUAGUAAAACCAUACUUGUUCAACGGUGCGGCUCUGAGUGGUACGGCCUGAACAAAACCUACCCAACUCUUAAGGUUUGACCUCAGAUCAGACAAGGAUACCCGCUGAACUUAA
rnacentral:misc_RNA from 1 species